rnacentral:rRNA from 1 species
CCUACGGGCGGCAGCAGUGAGGAAUAUUGGUCAAUGGACGAGAGUCUGAACCAGCCAAGUAGCGUGAAGGAUGACUGCCCUAUGGGUUGUAAACUUCUUUUAUAUGGGAAUAAAACGUUCCACGUGUGGGAUUUUGUAUGUACCCUAUGAAUAAGGAUCGGCUAACUCCGUGCCAGCAGCCGCGGUAAUACGGAGGAUCCGAGCGUUAUCCGGAUUUAUUGGGUUUAAAGGGAGCGUAGGUGGGUUGGUAAGUCAGUUGUGAAAGUAUGCGGCUCAACCGGAAAAUUGCAGUUGAAACUGGCAGUCUUGAGUACAGUAGAGGUGGGCGGAAUUCGUGGUGUAGCGGUGAAAUGCUUAGAUAUCACGAAGAACUCCGAUUGCGAAGGCAGUUCACUGGACUGCAACUGACACUGAGGCUCGAAAGUGUGGGUAUCGAACAGGAUUAGAUACCCCAGUAGUC